rnacentral:rRNA from 1 species
CUGCUGCCUCCCGUAGGAGUCUGGUCCGUGUCUCAGUACCAGUGUGGGGGACCUUCCUCUCAGAACCCCUACGCAUCGUCGCCUCGGUGGGCCGUUACCCCGCCGACUAGCUAAUGCGACGCAUGGCCAUCCUAUGCCGGAGUCGCCUCCUUUGACCACCUGGAGAUGUCUCCAAAUGGUGUUAUGCGGUAUUAGACGGAAUUUCUUCCGCUUAUCCCCCUGCAUAGGGCAGGUUCCAUACGUGUUACUCACCCGUGCG